UGGGGAAUAUUGCACAAUGGGCGAAAGCCUGAUGCAGCAACGCCGCGUGCGGGAUGACGGCCUUCGGGUUGUAAACCGCUUUCAGCAGGGACGAAGGUUUUCUGACGGUACCUGCAGAAGAAGCACCGGCUAACUACGUGCCAGCAGCCGCGGUGAUACGUAGGGUGCGAGCGUUGUCCGGAAUUAUUGGGCGUAAAGAGCUUGUAGGCGGUCCGUUGCGUCGGAAGUGAAAACUCAGGGCUUAACCCUGAGCCUGCUUUCGAUACGGGCGGACUUGAGGGAUGUAGGGGAGAACGGAAUUCCUGGUGGAGCGGUGGAAUGCGCAGAUAUCAGGAGGAACACCAGUGGCGAAGGCGGUUCUCUGGACAUUUCCUGACGCUGAGAAGCGAAAGCGUGGGGAGCAAACAGGCUUAGAUACCCUGGUAGUCCACG
rnacentral:rRNA from 1 species